GGUGACCCUCUUUGUUCUUUUGCCUAUUAAACUAAAAAGUUCCUUUCUUUCAUGAAAAGCUUUUCCACCCUCCCCUCAACCUACCCAUUUCUCUGUUUUUGUUCUACUUCAUUUCAUAGAACAAAAUUAAUCUCAAAAGAUUAGAAAGUUUCGUUUGUUUUUUGUUCUCAUUUUUCUUUUCGCUGUUUUUGUGAUGAUGGGUAGGUUUCAGGAG
rnacentral:misc_RNA from 1 species